AGAGUUUGAUCCUGGCUCAGGACGAACGCUGGCGGCGUGCUUAACACAUGCAAGUCGAACGGAAAGGCCCUUCGGGGUACUCGAGUGGCGAACGGGUGAGUAACACGUGGGUGAUCUGCCCUGCACUUUGGGAUAAGCCUGGGAAACUGGGUCUAAUACCGAAUAUGACCAUGCGCCUCCUGGUGUGUGGUGGAAAGCUUUUGCGGUGUGGGAUGGGCCCGCGGCCUAUCAGCUUGUUGGUGGGGUAAUGGCCUACCAAGGCGACGACGGGUAGCCGGCCUGAGAGGGUGACCGGCCACACUGGGACUGAGAUACGGCCCAGACUCCUACGGGAGGCAGCAGUGGGGAAUAUUGCACAAUGGGCGCAAGCCUGAUGCAGCGACGCCGCGUGAGGGAUGACGGCCUUCGGGUUGUAAACCUCUUUCAGCACAGACGAAGCGCAAGUGACGGUAUGUGCAGAAGAAGGACCGGCCAACUACGUGCCAGCAGCCGCGGUAAUACGUAGGGUCCGAGCGUUGUCCGGAAUUACUGGGCGUAAAGAGCUCGUAGGUGGUUUGUCGCGUUGUUCGUGAAAACUCACAGCUUAACUGUGGGCGUGCGGGCGAUACGGGCAGACUAGAGUACUGCAGGGGAGACUGGAAUUCCUGGUGUAGCGGUGGAAUGCGCAGAUAUCAGGAGGAACACCGGUGGCGAAGGCGGGUCUCUGGGCAGUAACUGACGCUGAGGAGCGAAAGCGUGGGUAGCGAACAGGAUUAGAUACCCUGGUAGUCC
rnacentral:rRNA from 1 species